UUACGACCAUAUUACGAUGAAAUAACUGAUCUAGUACGAUCACCAACGUUAAGCAACGUCGAGACUGGUCAGUACCUAGAUGGGUGACCGCUUGGGAAUACCAGGUGAUGUAU